rnacentral:tRNA from 1 species
GCGGAAGUUGUUCAGUGGUAGAACACCACCUUGCCAAGGUGGGGGUCGCGGGUUCGAAUCCCGUCUUCCGCUCCA